rnacentral:tRNA from 8 species
GGGGGCAUGGCGCAGUUGGGAGCGCGUCUGACUGGCAGUCAGAAGGUCAGGGGUUCAAGUCCCCUUGUCUCCACCA